rnacentral:lncRNA from 1 species
AGUAAAACUCAUAGAUCGAAAAUAAACUAACAAUGUCAUGGCUAAAAAGAAAAAGACAAACAGACAAGUAAUAGUACAUAAGACACAACAUAGAAAACUAAAAACUAAGCAACACGAACCCCUCCAAAAACAUUGGAAAACUAUGGAAAAUCUUGAUGAACAAUAUACGAAAAGUCUACUAGUACUAGAAAACAAGUUCUAAUGAAGAAAACAAAUACUUAAUUCCUUGCGCCAAGAAUUUUUAUUGGGUUAACAGUCCUGCUAAGAAUGCAAAAGAGGAAGAUAUAUGACUCGCUAUCAUAACCAAACAUGCUCUGAAGAAAGUAAAGCUUUUCUUAGGGAGUUGAAUAUCCGUUUCUGUUGAAAAAGUACAAAAAUGCCCAUUCAAAGUUUAUAUACAGAUAAAUAAGACAUACUGAUUACGGGACAAUUAAAAGAAAGACACACACCACCAGGGUGAAAAGAAACAAAAACUACAAACAAGUUUCACUAAUAAGAACAGCUACCAGGAAUUAACUUAAAUUAUUUAACUUUAAAAUGCCCGUGUCGAUGCAUUGAUUCAGAUGACAAGACAGGGGACUAGAAAUUCACCAUCAAUGAUGCCGGCAAAGGGGUAGUGUCACUAGAUUUCCCGAUUUUCGCCUUUUGAGCGAGAGUCUUCUCAAGUUCUUUAGCGGGUUACUGCUCACAAUGAAGC